rnacentral:rRNA from 1 species
AGAGGAAGGAGAAGUCGUAACAAGGUUUCCGUAGGUGAACCUGCGGAAGGAUCAUUGUCGAAAUCGAACGGAAGAACGACCCGCGAAUCGUCACUGCUUACUAGACAGAGCCCGUGAGCACCUAACGCUCAUGGGGCUCGCGUCGCGUCGGCGCGGGUGUCCUCGAGACCCGCGUCGCACCGGCGGACAAACAACGUCAGCACGGAUCGUGCCAAGGAGCUGCAUGGAGAGAAUCGUCGUCCCACGCCUUUGGUAGUCCUCGAUGCGGGACGGGGGACGUACGCGAUCUCUACUCAAGUCUAAACGACUCUCGGCAACGGAUAUCUCGGCUCUUGCAUCGAUGAAGAACGUAGCGAAAUGCGAUACUUGGUGUGAAUUGCAGAAUCCCGUGAACCAUCAAUUCUUUGAACGCAAGUUGCGCCCGAAGCCAUUCGGCCGAGGGCACGCCUGCCUGGGUGUCGUGAAUCCCCUUGCCCCUAGGCACCCGCACGAGCAUUGGCGGGGAUAUACGCUCGGGCGCAGAACAUGGUCUCCCGUGGGAUCGGCAUGCACGGCAUGUCGAGGUGCGGUUGGCCGAAAAUCGAGCAUGGCGGUGACGGGCACCACGGCGUUCGGUGGAUCGAAUGAGAUUGGCUGCGCCGUGGGCUCGGCAUGCGGCGGGCUCCGGACUUUGAAUAUCCCCGAGUGCGAUCCCAGGUCAGGCGGGGCUACCCGCUGAGUUUAAGCAUAUCAAUAAGCGGAGGAAAAGAAACUAAC